rnacentral:rRNA from 1 species
CCGGCUAACUCCGUGCCAGCAGCCGCGGUAAUACGGAGGAUCCAAGCGUUAUCCGGAUUUAUUGGGUUUAAAGGGUGCGUAGGCGGCGAGGUAAGUUAGAGGUGAAAUUAAGUGGCUCAACCACUUCCGUGCCUCUGAUACUGCUUUGCUAGAGAUUAGAUGCGGUAGGCGGAAUGUGUGGUGUAGCGGUGAAAUGCUUAGAGAUCACACAGAACACCGAUUGCGAAGGCAGCUUACCAAUCUAAGUCUGACGUUGAGGCACGAAAGCGUGGGUAGCAAACAGGAUUAGAUACCCUGGUAGUCCACGCAGUAAACGAUGAUAGCUCGUUGUCGGCGAUACACAGUCGGUGACUUAGCGAAAGCGUUAAGCUAUCCACCUGGGGAGUACGUUCGCAAGAAUGAAACUCAAAGGAAUUGACGGGGGCCCGCACAAGCGGAGGAACAUGUGGUUUAAUUCGAUGAUACGCGAGGAACCUUACCCGGGCUUGAAAGUUAGUGACGGAGGUGGAAACAUCUCUUUCCUUCGGGACACGAAACUAGGUGCUGCAUGGUUGUCGUCAGCUCGUGCCGUGAGGUGUCGGCUUAAGUGCCAUAACGAGCGCAACCCUUGUUGUUAGUUACUAGCAGGUAGUGCUGAGGACUCUAACAAGACUGCCACCGUAAGGUGUGAGGAAGGUGGGGAC